UUAAGUAAGAAAGGGCGUACGGUGGAUGCCUAGGCACUUGGAACUGAAGAAGGACGCAGCAAACAGCGAAAUGCUGCGGGGAGCGGUACGCACGCAAAGAUCCGCAGAUAUCCGAAUGGGGAAACCCGUCAUCUGUAAUAGGAUGACACCCAUGAGCGAAUACAUAACUCAUGAGGGAGGUACCCGGGGAACUGAAACAUCUAAGUACCCGGAGGAAAAGAAAAUAAAGAAUGAUUCCGUAAGUAGCGGCGAGCGAAAGCGGAGGAGCCCAAACCAGUUCUCGAACUGGGGUUGUAGGACCACGACAAGACAAGAACGACGAUAGGAGAACAGCAUUGAAAGGCUGACCAAAGAGGGUGCAAGUCCCGUAACUGAAAUCGUAGUGAAGUCUAGUGGGAUCCUGAGUACGGCGAGACACGAGAAAUCUUGUCGGAAGCAGGCGGGACCAUCCGUCAAGGCUAAAUAUACCCAAGUGACCGAUAGUGAACCAGUACCGUGAGGGAAAGGUGAAAAGAACCGCGGGAGCGGAGUGAAAGAGAACCUGAAACCGUAUGCCUACAAGAAGUCAGAGCCCGUUAAAGGGUGAUGGCGUGCCUUUUGUAGAAUGAACCGGCGAGUUACGUUAUCGUGCGAGGUUAAGUAGAAGAUACGGAGCCGAAGCGAAAGCGAGUCUUAAUAGGGCGGCAGUACGAUGACGUAGACCCGAAACCGUGUGAUCUAGCCAUGACCAGGUUGAAGUUCAGGUGAAACUGAAUGGAGGACCGAACCGACCCCCGUUGAAAAGUUGGCGGAUGAGUUGUGGCUAGGGGAGAAAUUCCAAUCGAACACGGAUAUAGCUGGUUCUCCCCGAAAUAGCUUUAGGGCUAGCGUCGAGGAAGAGUAUGUUGGAGGUAGAGCACUGAAUGUACGAUGGCCCCAUCCCGGGGUACUGAGUAUAAUCAAACUCCGAAUGCCAAUAUAUAUACUCGGCAGUCAGACUGUGGGUGAUAAGGUCCAUGGUCAAAAGGGAAACAGCCCAGACCGCCAGUUAAGGUCCCAAAAUGUAUGCUAAGUGGAAAAGGAUGUGGGGAUGCACAGACAACUAGGAGGUUGGCUCAGAAGCAGCCACCCUUCAAAGAGUGCGUAACAGCUCACUAGUCGAGUGACCCUGCGCCGAAAAUGUACCGGGGCUAAGCAUACUACCGAAGCUGCGGAUUUGUAGUAAUACAAGUGGUAGGGGAGCGUUCCAUACUGCGUAGAAGUCAGAUCGUAAGGACUGAUGGAGUGUAUGGAAGUGAGAAUGCCGGUGUGAGUAGCGAGAUGUAGGUGAGAAUCCUACACACCGAUAGCCCAAGGGUUCCAGGGGAAGGUUCGUCCGCCCUGGGUAAGUCGGGACCUAACGCGAGGCCGAAAGGCGUAGUGGAUGGAAAACAGGCAGAUAUUCCUGUACCCGCGAUGGAAGUGAAGGAAUGACGGAGAAGGCUAGUGUGACCCACUGAAUGGAUUGUGGGCGAAGCGAAUAGCAGGACGGCAGUGAAAUGCGUCGUCGGAAUGUAAAACGUGACAGGUAAGGGAACGUCUACGGACAAGUACCGAAGCACAUGAGGCCAGCUUCCAGGAAAAGUUUCUAGCGUUGAUUCCAUAGCGGCCCGUACCAAAACCGACACAGGUGGGCAAGGAGAGGAUCCUGAGGUGAGCGAGAGAACUGUUGCCAAGGAACUCGGCAAAAUGACUCCGUAAGUUAGCGAUAAGGAGUGCUCUUGUAAAAGAGAGCCGCAGUGAAGAGGCCCAAGCGACUGUUUAACUAAAACACAGCUCUCUGCAAAGUCGCAAGACGAAGUAUAGGGGGUGACGCCUGCCCGGUGCUGGAAGGUUAAAAGGAUCUGUGAAUCGCAAGAGGAAGCAGUGAACUGAAGCCCCAGUGAACGGCGGCCGUAACUAUAACGGUCCUAAGGUAGCGAAAUUCCUUGUCAGGUAAGUUCUGACCCG
rnacentral:rRNA from 1 species